AGAGGAGGCUGUGCCCGAAAGGGAGCCGUAACACAGGUGCUGCAUGGCUGUCGUCCGCUCGUGUCGUGAGAUGUUGGGUUAAGUCCCGCAACGAGCGCAACCCUUGUCCCUAGUUGCUACGCAAGAGCACUCCAGGGAGACUGCCGGUGACAAACCGGAGGAAGGUGGGGAUGACGUCAAGUCCUCAUGGCCCUUAUGGGUAGGGCUUCACACGUCAUACAAUGGUCGGAACAGAGGGUUGCCAAGCCGCGAGGUGGAGCCAAUCCCAGAAAACCGAUCGUAGUCCGGAUCGCAGUCUGCAACUCGACUGCGUGAAGCUGGAAUCGCUAGUAAUCGCGGAUCAGCAUGCCGCGGUGAAUACGUUCCCGGGUCUUGUACACACCG
rnacentral:rRNA from 1 species